UACGGGGGGGGCAAGCGUUGUUCGGAAUUACUGGGCGUAAAGGGCUCGUAGGCGGCCAACUAAGUCGGACGUGAAAUCCCUCGGCUUAACCGGGGAACUGCGUCCGAUACUGGAUGGCUUGAGUUCGGGAGAGGGAUGCGGAAUUCCAGGUGUAGCGGUGAAAUGCGUAGAUAUCUGGAGGAACACCGGUGGCGAAGGCGGCAUCCUGGACCAACACUGACGCUGAGUGAGCGAAAGCCAGGGGAGCAAACGGG
rnacentral:rRNA from 1 species